GGAGUAUGUUUGGUCUGKCCCACCCAUGUGACGUUACCAAACUGUUGCCUCGGCGGGAUCUCUGCCCCGGGUGCGUCGCAGCCCCGGACCAAGGCGCCCGCCGGAGGACCAACCAAAACUCUUAUUGUAUACCCCCUCGCGGGUUUUUUUUAUAAUCUGAGCCUUCUCGGCGCCUCUCGUAGGCGUUUCGAAAAUGAAUCAAAACUUUCAACAACGGAUCUCUUGGUUCUGGCAUCGAUGAAGAACGCAGCGAAAUGCGAUAAGUAAUGUGAAUUGCAGAAUUCAGUGAAUCAUCGAAUCUUUGAACGCACAUUGCGCCCGCCAGUAUUCUGGCGGGCAUGCCUGUCCGAGCGUCAUUUCAACCCUCGAACCCCUCCGGGGGGUCGGCGUUGGGGAUCGGCCCUGCCUCUUGGCGGUGGCCGUCUCCGAAAUACAGUGGCGGUCUCGCCGCAGCCUCUCCUGCGCAGUAGUUUGCACACUCGCAUCGGGAGCGCGGCGMGWCCACAGCCRUUAAACACCCAACUUCUGAAAUGUUGACCUCGGAUCAGGUAGGAAUACCCGCUGAACUUAAGCAUAUCAAUAAASCGGARRGAA
rnacentral:rRNA from 1 species